UCCCAGUUAGUACAAUGGUUAGUAUAGGGCACUCUCAGACUGGCUCCUUUCAGCCACAUCAACUGCUCAGAUCAGGGUUCGAUUCCCUGGCCGGGAA